rnacentral:rRNA from 1 species
CCUACGGGUGGCAGCAGUGGGGAAUAUUGCACAAUGGGGGAAACCCUGAUGCAGCGACGCCGCGUGAGUGAGGCAGUAUUUCGGUAUGUAAAGCUCUAUCAGCAGGGAAGAAAAUGACGGUACCUGACUAAGAAGCCCUGUCUAACUUCGUGCCAGCAGCCGCGGUAAUACGUAGGGGGCAAGCGUUAUCCGGAUUUACUGGGUGUAAAGGGAGCGUAGACGGCUAAUCAAGUCAGAAGUGAAAACCCAGGGCUCAACCUUGGGAGGGGUUUUGAUACUGAGUAGCUAGAGUGCAGGAGAGGUAAGCGGAAUUCCUGGUGUAGCGGUGAAAUGCGUAGAUAUUAGGAGGAACCCCAGUGGCGAAGGCGGCUUACUGGACUGUAACUGACGUUGAGGCUCGAAAGCGUGGGGAGCAAACAGGAUUAGAUACCCCAGUAGUC